rnacentral:rRNA from 1 species
UACGUAGGGGGCUAGCGUUGUCCGGAUUUAUUGGGCGUAAAGCGCACGUAGGCGGUUCGUUAUGUCGGAUGUGAAAGCCCUCGGCUUAACCGAGGAAGUGCAUCCGAAACUGGCGAGCUUGAGUACGGAAGAGGGUCUCGGAAUUCCCGGUGUAGAGGUGAAAUUCGUAGAUAUCGGGAGGAACACCAGUGGCGAAGGCGGAGACCUGGGCCGAUACUGACGCUGAGGUGCGAAAGCGUGGGGAGCAAACAGG